rnacentral:lncRNA from 1 species
UAAAAGCUAAACAAUAAGACUGUAUAUCAACAUCUUCUCAUUACGUAUGAGCAUCCCCAACCUAACCAUUUAGCCAAGAUCAUAAAAGAACAUAAUUCCCCCCAAAAAAAAGACUAUUUUUUUUCAUAUUUUGGAUGCUCAAGAACCAUACGCGUAUUGCGUACGUAUGACAAGAGCUUUGGUCAGACAGCCAAGCAGACUAGCCACGGAAACGAGAGCAAAAAUAUCUCGCGCAAUCAAUUCACGACGUGGAAAAUGUUCAGAAGAGAAAAAAAAAGGUUGGAAAAUGUUCAUAAAAAAAUAGAGGAGCCGUGGCGCUCUCUUUCCCACUCACCCAACGGCCAAAACGACUGCUCGGAAACCGCCCCACGUUUCCUCCCUCGCGCGCCAUCGCCCGUCUCCUUCCCGCCAAAAUAUCAGUCUCACAAGCAAAGCGAACCAUGACCAUCUCUCUCUGUGAUAUAUAUAUAUAUGUCGACGAUGCCAUCAGAGCAGUACCUGUGGAUCAACAGCAAGAAAACAAGACAACUCGUUACCGAAGCUGAGCAAGAUCGUGUUUCUCUUCCCUCUGUGUGUGUGUGAUCGAUUGAUUGAUUCCAUGGCGAUCGCGAGGUCGCCGUUUGCUCCAAUGGAGGAGAAGGCGCAGCAACUGGAUCAGCAGGGUGCGGGUGGCGUGUACCUGAUUCACAGCCAGGUGAUGAGGAUCAAGAAGGAGGAGGAGGAGGCCAGGGAGCUUCUCCUCGAGCUGCAGCUGCUGGAGACGCGGCCGGCCGGCGGCCGCUGCCCGGCGACGACGCUGCGGGCCUCCCGGUCGCUCUCCCCGCUCCGCCGCGCCGGCGGCAUCAUCCCCGUCGGGGAGUGAUCGAUCGAGCAUCAUGCGUGGAUGUGAUGUUCUUCUUUUUUGGGGAUACUUAUAGUAGAUCGAGCUUAGUCUGAGUGAGUGAGUCCCUGAUGCCUGUCCAUGGUCUGUACUGUCGCCAUGGAUCAGAGCUUUAGAUGUUGGUUGUAGCACACCAGAUGUACAUGUUUUCCCCUUCCCUCUUGUUGUGUUGUAAAAAUAUCAGUGAUCGACUUUACCUUUGCCUAUCUUAGCAGCAUCCGUACGUCAUGUUUUUCGUGCCGUGAUUCUUGAUGAUCCAUCCUCUCUCUCUCUCUCUCUCUCUCUUCAGCAACUCUG